rnacentral:rRNA from 1 species
GACGAACGCUGGCGGCGUGCUUAACACAUGCAAGUCGAACGGAAAGGCCUGCUUUCCCUUGUGGAUUGCGGGUACUCGCGUGGCGAACGGGUGAGUAACACGUGAGUGAUCUGCCCCCAACUUGGGUAUAAGCCUGGGAAACUGGGUCUAAUUCCCGAUAGGACUGCAGGGUGGUGCCUGUGGUGGAAAACGAUUUUCUAGUGGUUGGGGAUGAGCUCGCGGCCUAUCAGCUUGUUGGUGGGGUAAUGGCCUACCAAGGCGGCGACGGGUAGCCGGCCUGAGAGGGUGGACGGCCACAGUGGGACUGAGAUACGGCCCAGACUCCUACGGGAGGCAGCAGUGGGGAAUAUUGCACAAUGGGCGGAAGCCUGAUGCAGCGACGCAGCGUGGGGGAUGACGGCCUUCGGGUGGUAAACUCCUUUCGACCGCGAGGAAGCCACCUGGUUGGAAGGGUGGUGACGGUAGUGGUAGAAGAAGCACCGGCUAACUACGUG